UAGGGAAUCUUCCGCAAUGGACGCAAGUCUGACGGAGCAACGCCGCGUGAGUGAAGAAGGAUUUCGGUUCGUAAAACUCUGUUGUUAGAGAAGAACAGCGCAUAGAGUAACUGUUAUGCGUGUGACGGUAUCUAACCAGAAAGCCACGGCUAACUACGUGCCAGCAGCCGCGGUAAUACGUAGGUGGCAAGCGUUGUCCGGAUUUAUUGGGCGUAAAGCGAGCGCAGGCGGUCAAUUAAGUCUGAUGGGAAAGCCCCCGGCUCAACCGGGGAGGGUCAUUGGAAACUGGUUGACUUGAGUGCAGAAGGGGAGAGUGGAAUUCCAUGUGUAGCGGUGAAAUGCGUAGAUAUAUGGAGGAACACCAGUGGCGAAGGCGACUCUCUGGUCUGUAACUGACGCUGAGGUUCGAAAGCGUGGGUAGCAAACAGG
rnacentral:rRNA from 1 species